ACAUUCUAUCUUCUUUGAUUGUUGUUGUUGUAAUAUGUGAAGUCUUGCUUGAAAAUGCUUCAGGCACCUAGCUGUCAAAAGAAGAAUGGAAAUUACAAUAAAAAAAUCCUAAUUCUAAUAGAAUACUAACAAUGUUCUAAUUAGACCAUAAUAAUGGUAAGCAAGCUUAAUCAAAUUUAAAAAAACCUCAAAGAAAUUUCAAACAAACAAUGAAAAUUCUUAAAGAAAUAUUAGAAGCAUAACAAAUAUCACUCAAAUACAUCUUAAUUCAAUCUUAAUUUAUUUCUAGUAAAAAUCCUAUUGAACAUCAUUCAAACUUUAGACCAAAACUAAUUGAAUCUUAAAUCCUAAUAAAAUCUUAAACCCUAAAUCAAACCCUAAACAAACCUUAAAUCAAAUCCCAACCAAAUCCUAAACCAAAUCCUAACCAAAUCCUAACCAAAUGCUAAAUCCAAAUCCUAAUCAAAUGCUAAAUCCAAAUCCUAAAUCCUAAACCAAAUCUUAACUAAACUCUAAAUCCUAAAUCAAAUCCUAACCAAAUCCUAAACCUUAUAUCCUAAACCAAACCCUAACCAAAUCCUGAACCAAAUCCUAAAUCUAAACCAAUCCCUAACCAAAUCCUAGUAAUUCCUACAACAGAUUUAAACCUCAAUAAUUAAUGAACAAAGCAUUGAUCUUAACUCAAAUUUUGCAU
rnacentral:lncRNA from 1 species